AGUUUUAUGAGAAUAUAUAAAAUGAAUUCUGCCCAAUGAUUAGUUUAAUGGCCGCAGUACUUUAACUGUGCUAAGGUAGCAUAAUAAUUUGGCUUUUAAUUAAGGUCUGGUAUGAAAGGAUUUUAUGGGUAAUAACUGUCUUUAUUUAACUUUUAAAAAUUUACUUAAAAGGUGAAAAUUCCUUUAAUAUUAAAAUAGACGAGAAGACCCUAGGAGUUUUCAUUUUGUUGGGGCGACAUUUUAGUAAAUAACCUAAGAAAAAAAUUUGACGGAUAUAUCAAUUAUAAAUAAACUACCCUAGGGAUAACAGCAUAAUAAUAUUUUUUGUUUGUGACCUCGAUGUUGGACUAGG
rnacentral:rRNA from 1 species